GGUUUUAUAGUGUAAAAACAUAACAGACUGCAAUUCUGUAGAAACUAUUUUAAAUAGUUAAAACUU
rnacentral:tRNA from 1 species